rnacentral:rRNA from 1 species
UAGGGAAUCUUCGGCAAUGGACGAAAGUCUGACCGAGCAACGCCGCGUGAGUGAAGAAGGUUUUCGGAUCGUAAAACUCUGUUGUUAGAGAAGAACAAGGACGUUAGUAACUGAACGUCCCCUGACGGUAUCUAACCAGAAAGCCACGGCUAACUACGUGCCAGCAGCCGCGGUAAUACGUAGGUGGCAAGCGUUGUCCGGAUUUAUUGGGCGUAAAGCGAGCGCAGGCGGUUUCUUAAGUCUGAUGUGAAAGCCCCCGGCUCAACCGGGGAGGGUGAUUGGAAACUGUGAGACUUGAGUGCAGAAGAGGAGAGUGGAAUUCCAUGUGUAGCGGUGAAAUGCGUAGAUAUAUGGAGGAACACCAGUGGCGAAGGCGGCUCGCUGGUCUGUAACUGACGCUGAGGCUCGAAAGCGGGGGGAGCAAACAGG